rnacentral:rRNA from 1 species
CACGUAGGGUGCAAGCGUUGUCCGGAAUUAUUGGGCGUAAAGGGCUCGUAGGCGGUCCGUCACGUCGGGAGUGAAAACUCGGGGCUCAACCCCGAGCCUGCUUUCGAUACGGGCGGACUAGAGGUAGGUAGGGGAGAACGGAAUUCCUGGUGUAGCGGUGGAAUGCGCAGAUAUCGGAAGGAACAUCAGUGGCGAAAGCGACUUCCUGGACCAAUACUGACGCUCAUGUGCGAAAGCGUGGGGAGCAAACAGG